rnacentral:rRNA from 1 species
UGGGGAAUAUUGGACAAUGGGCGAAAGCCUGAUCCAGCCAUGCCGCGUGUGUGAAGAAGGUCUUCGGAUUGUAAAGCACUUUAAGUUGGGAGGAAGGGCAGUAAGUUAAUACCUUGCUGUUUUGACGUUACCGACAGAAUAAGCACCGGCUAACUCUGUGCCAGCAGCCGCGGUAAUACAGAGGGUGCAAGCGUUAAUCGGAAUUACUGGGCGUAAAGCGCGCGUAGGUGGUUUUGUAAGUUGGAUGUGAAAGCCCCGGGCUCAACCUGGGAACUGCAUCCAAAACUGGCAGGCUAGAGUACGGUAGAGGGUGGUGGAAUUUCCUGUGUAGCGGUGAAAUGCGUAGAUAUAGGAAGGAACACCAGUGGCGAAGGCGACCACCUGGACUGAUACUGACACUGAGGUGCGAAAGCGUGGGGAGCAAACA